AGACUUCAGUGACUGGAUCAAACAUGUCCAACUAUUCAACUUUACUGCCCAAAACUGAACAUAUGAACCCAACUGAGCCGUCUGUGAACACUGUGCACAUCUCAGCAGAGAGCAAACACCUGAUUUCUGCAUCUACAGGCGUUCCUCCUAGUAUCCCAACAGCAGGUCCUCGGUUCCAUGCCGGUAGUUUCAUUGGCGGUAUGAUGCUUUCCUUAUUAUCAUACUGGUCGUCACUCUGGGCUACAGGUUGGCCUGCUCACAACGGGAAGUGCACUACAGAGUCAUUGAGGAACAUGAUGCCAUCAUUUUAAAUGGAGCCGCUGAGGAAAUGCAGGCUAGAACACAAGCUAUAGUCAGAAUCUGAAGAGAACAUUUUCAUCAUAAUGUGGUUAAGUCUGGUUUUAUACAUUUAAUAUUGUAAAUAGGUUAUUCCCAGCAGUUUUUAAACUUUAAGUAGUGAAUACUUGAACAAUGUAAUUUUCUUUUUU